AGCAUUCGCACGGGUUCAUAUACACAAGAUGAGGACAAGUUGAUUUGCCAAGCUUGGAUGGAGAUUAGCCAAGAUCCGAGGACCGGCGCGCAACAAAAGGGCAUUGUUUUUUGGACGAGAGUCCACAAAACAUUCCAUGAAAGGAAGAUAUUUGAGCCCUACCAAAUUACAAGCAACCAUGGCAUCGGCUCGAUUCAAAAAAGAUGGUUGUUCAUCCAACAAGAGUGCAACAAGUAUUGCAUCGCAUUUUAG
rnacentral:rRNA from 1 species